rnacentral:rRNA from 1 species
UACGAGGGGUCCAAGCGUUGUUCGGAAUCAUUGGGCGUAAAGCGUGCGCAGGCGGUUAUGUAAGACAGAUGUGAAAUGCCCGGGCUUAACCUGGGAACUGCAUUUGUGACUGCAUGGCUAGAGUUUGGCAGAGGGGGGUAGAAUUCCACGUGUAGCAGUGAAAUGCGUAGAUAUGUGGAGGAACACCGAUGGCGAAGGCAGCCCCCUGGGUCAAGACUGACGCUCAUGCACGAAAGCGUGGGGAGCAAACAGG